rnacentral:rRNA from 1 species
GAGGAAAAGAAACCAACCGGGAUUGCCUUAGUAACGGCGAGUGAAGCGGCAAAAGCUCAAAUUUGAAAUCUGGCGUCUUCGACGUCCGAGUUGUAAUUUGAAGAAGGUAACUUUGUAGCUGGUCCUUGUCUAUGUUCCUUGGAACAGGACGUCAUAGAGGGUGAGAAUCCCGUGUGGCGAGGAUCCCAGUUAUUUGUAAAGUGCUUUCGACGAGUCGAGUUGUUUGGGAAUGCAGCUCUAAGUGGGUGGUAAAUUCCAUCUAAAGCUAAAUAUUGGCGAGAGACCGAUAGCGAACAAGUACAGUGAUGGAAAGAUGAAAAGAACUUUGAAAAGAGAGUGAAAAAGUACGUGAAAUUGUUGAAAGGGAAGGGCAUUUGAUCAGACAUGGCGUUUGCUUCGGCUUUCGCUGGGCCAGCAUCAGUUUUAGCGGUUGGAUAAAUCCUCGGGAAUGUGGCUCUGCUUCGGUAGAGUGUUAUAGCCCGUGGGAAUACAGCCAGCUGGGACUGAGGAUUGCGACUUUUGUCAAGGAUGCUGGCGUAAUGGUUAAAUGCCGCCCGU